rnacentral:ncRNA from 1 species
AUUAAUAAAAGCGCCAGAACUAAAGUUUUUUAGUUGACGAGGAUGGGAAGUAUCGAAUUUUCGGCGGAUGUCCCACGGUAUCACACUACCGUAAACAGCUGAUAAAACUGAAAAGUGAUUUUCAGCACAAAUUCAG